rnacentral:rRNA from 1 species
GACAAUACAACCGGAAAACCGUAGAGACUACGGUCCCCUUGUGGUCGGUGUACAGGUGGUGCAUGGCUGUCGUCAGCUCGUGUCGUGAGAUGUUGGGUUAAGUCCCGCAACGAGCGCAACCCUUGUCUUAUGUUGCCAGCACGUGAUGGUGGGGACUCGUAAGAGACUGCCGGGGUCAACUCGGAGGAAGGUGGGGACGACGUCAAGUCAUCAUGCCCUUAUGUCCAGGGCUUCACACAUGCUACAAUGGCCAGUACAGAGGGCUGCGAGACCGUGAGGUGGAGCGAAUCCCUUAAAGCUGGUCUCAGUUCGGAUCGGGGUCUGCAACUCGACCCCGUGAAGUCGGAGUCGCUAGUAAUCGCAGAUCAGCAACGCUGCGGUGAAUACGUUCCCGGGCCUU